UACGAAGGAGGCUAGCGUUGCUCGGAAUUACUGGGCGUAAAGCGCACGUAGGCGGAUUGUUAAGUCGGGGGUGAAAUCCUGGAGCUCAACUCCAGAACUGCCUUCGAUACUGGCGAUCUCGAGUUCGGGAGAGGUGAGUGGAACUGCGAGUGUAGAGGUGAAAUUCGUAGAUAUUCGCAAGAACACCAGUGGCGAAGGCGGCUCACUGGCCCGAUACUGACGCUGAGGUGCGAAAGCGUGGGGAGCAAACAGG
rnacentral:rRNA from 1 species